AAUAAUAAUCAGAACCUUUGUAUACCACUCACUGUUCUACACUGUUAAUUUUGAGGUGCUAAAAUAGCACCAGCGUAGGUGCCAAAUCAACACAUUGCAGUGGUGUUAAAUAGAAAGUGCUAUUUUGACACCAAUUUCGGUGCUAAUUUAACACCACCAAAUCUGACAUUACGCUAAAAGUGCCAAUAUGACACCUUAUAAUUUCAGCACCUUCGCAAGGUGCUGAAAUAGCACCUAUUUUGCAGACGGAAAGUGCUAAAAUAACGCCAGAUUGAGAGUUAAAGUAUGGGGUGUCAAAAUAACACUAAAUGGCGGUAGAGAAUUUUCGACUUUAUUACAAAGUCAUUUUCAGACAGAAUGGAUAGGGAAAGAGCGGUUAUUUAAGUUAUUGGAAAAUAAAUCUGUAUUUUCGAAUCAAUGUUUUGGAACAAGAAAUUCCUGUGCGUUUUCUCACAACUAUUCAUCUGAGUGAUCUGACGACAUGGAAAUUCGGCUUGUUCCUAUGAUACAAAAAAACCAAUAGAGAGGAAUACUAGACAAAUGGUACAUCGAUAGUGAUGUAUUGUCCUUUUCAUUUCAUCAAACUAUGUUAUUCCGUGCUAUAUUUUCGGACUGCCUAUAUGUAUUGAUUGCUACAAAGUAUUUAUUUCGCAAUCGCCUGAUAUGUAUGUCCAUAUAAGGAACAAAAUAUAACACGUGAUCAGCGCCUGUAUGGAAAUUUUGAGCGCGUCGUUUGAAAACUCUUUUGAAUCGUACUUCAUACUGCCGUGUUGAAGACGUUUUGAGCGUAUUUUCUUAACUAUUUUGGUACUUCUAAAUAUGCUGAACAACAACGGACUCACAUAAGGAAAUAUCAAGAGAAUUGGCUAUGAUAUUAUCUCAGAAAUAUCUUGGUAAGUUGAAUUGAAUUGAAUUUGAUCGAGUACGGAGGUCCACGUUCGCUCAAACGGCCAAAUCGCCAAACAAACAAAUGUGUGUUAUUUAUUAUUAUAGAGAAGCCAAAUGAAUUCUACUUUUAAUACUGCGAUGAUCUCUUUAGCAAUCUGGGUCGAAGAAAAUAUCAUUGCAAUAAUAGUUUUCACCAAGAUUGAAUGAAGGCCUCAAAUGUGGCAAAUUAAGGGGAAACUGUAAUUCUAAUGAUAUGACAAGGAAAUAUCCCUUCCUUGCUGACUCAAUUGUGGUUGUGGAACAGGUUCAUGGACCAUAACAAGGCCAUAGGUUGAAACAAUUUUAGAAGAAUAUCCUGCACUUCAGCUUAUUACAGAGAUCAGGACCCAAGGCUAAUUCGUUCAGAAGACCUUUAAGAUGUUCAAACUUUGAUGAUUGCGGUGGAGGGGCAAAUGUUAACUUAUCAAAGAACAGACUCAACUUCAUUUUAUCUACUAAACAUGGAGUACAUCGGUGGUGUGGCAAAUGUGUGUGCAUUCUUGGAAACUGCUCUCGUCGGGAAGCCUUAGGACAAAAACUUUUGAAGGACAUUAAGUACCGUAAACAUUUUAAACAUUCUUGUAGCUACGUUGAUUUUCCUGUCACAGCAUAUGUAGAAAUAAAUAUUUUUUAAUCGCAUUUGGUCUACUUCGUAUGAUUAUAGCUUAUGCUAUUUAGUCGCUCCAUUGCUAGCGCUAAAAGUGCAAAAACUAAUCCACACAAACUUCAGGUGUUAGAUUAACACCAAAAGUAGGCGUCAAACAAGCACCAAAGAUCGUGCUAAUUUGACACCUUAUUUCGCGGUGUCAAUUUAGCACCCGAAAUGGUGUUAUUCUGUACCUUUUUAUUUGACACCUUUUUUGGUGUCAAUAUGACACCGCAAAAU